CAACACCUCAAAUUUUAUUGGUGAAGGGAAAGUGAAGAUGUCCAAGAUGGACAAAAUAAGAUACAAUGAUAUGACAUGAGUGUGGAUAGGCCAAUAGCGAGGGAUUAGGAUCGUACUAAAUAAAGUAUGCCUAGCUUCCUUCCAUAAGAAAGUAUUCCUGAUGAUGUUCUUGGGAGUAAUAUUCCAUGCUGGGUUUCAGAUCCCUCGAAGGCUCCAGAGGAUGUUGAUGAAGUGCAGGGGGAUCCACAUCAG
rnacentral:lncRNA from 1 species